AUUCUCUGUUCUACCUUGCAAUUCAAACCCAUCACAGCUAUGUCUCUGUGUCGAAGAUUCACUAGAUCUUCUGCUGUACUUGGGUACUGAUCUCAUCUUCAAUGGCUCGGUAAAACCUCUCAGAUAUACAUUGUGUCAAAGGACAAACAUUAUAUUAACUGUGAGCUCCCAGCGAACACUAUUCGGAGCGAAUUGAAAAGUCAAAGCUAAGGUAA